rnacentral:rRNA from 1 species
GCUUGUGCGAUAAAUCAUUCAAGUUUCUGCCCUAUCAGCUUUGGAUGGUAGUGUAUUGGACUACCAUGGCAGUCACGGGUAACGGAGAAUUAGGGUUCGAUUCCGGAGAGGGAGCCUGAGAAACGGCUACCACAUCUACGGAAGGCAGCAGGAGCGAAAAUUGCCCAAUCCCGACACGGGGAGGCAGUGACGAGAAAUAACAACUCUUGGUUAUUCUAAGAAGUGUAAUGAGGAUAAUUUAAAACCCUUACCGAAAGCAAUUGGAGGGCAAGUCUGGUGCCAGCAGCCGCGGUAAUUCCAGCUCCAAUAGCGUAUAUUAAAGUUGUUGCAGUUAAAAAGCUCGUAGUUGAAGUUCUGGCUGCUUGACCCUCGAGCUCUGUAGCCGAGGGCUCAGCAGUCAUCCGCUUGCAAAUAUAUGUUCGCCUUUAACCGGGCGGCUAUAUGAGUAAGCAUUUUACCUUGAGAAAAACAGAGUGUUCCAGGCAGGUUUGUCCGGAAUGCAUUAGCAUGGAAUAAUAGAAUAUGACUGAAGUCGAUUUAUUGGUUUGAGGCUUUAGUAAUGAUUAAUAGGAACAGUCGGGGGCAUUGGUACUUGUCAGUCAGAGGUGAAAUUCUAGGAUUUGACAAAGACUAACAAAUGCGAAAGCAUUUGCCAAGGAUGUUUUCAUUAAUCAAGAACGAAAGUUAGGGGAUCAAAGACGAUCAGAUACCGUCCUAGUCUUAACUAUAAACUAUACCGACUCGGAUUCAGAUGAAUCAUAAAGUUCAUUUGGGACCGUAGGAGAAAUCAAAGUUUUUGGGUUCUGGGGGAAGUAUGGUCGCAAGGCUGAAACUUAAAGGAAUUGACGGUUUUGCACCACCAUGGAGUGGAGUCUGCGGCUUAAUUUGACCCAACACUGGGAAACUCAUCAGGGCAAGAAGAUUGUAGGAUUGACAGAUUGAGAGUUCUUUCUUGAUUGGUCUAGUGGUGGUGCAUGGCCGUUCUUAGUUGGUGGAGUGAUUUGUCUGGUUAAUUCCGUUAACGAACGAGACCUUAACCUGCUAACUAGUACACCGAUGACAAAUCGGUGAUACUUCUUAGAGGGACUAUGUGAUGUAAUCACAUGGAAGUUUGAGGCAAUAACAGGUCUGUGAUGCCCUUAGAUGUCCUGAGCUGCACGUGUACUACAAUGGUGCUUUCAUCGGGCUUUUCCUGAUCCGAAAGGAUUUGGGUAAUCUUUUUAGUGAGCACCGUGCUUGGGAUAGAUCUUUGUAAUUAUGGAUCUUGAACUAGGAAUUCCUAGUAAGCACGUGUCAUCAGCACGU